UUGAACGCUGGCGGCAGGCCUAACACAUGCAAGUCGAACGGUAACAGGAAGCAGCUUGCUGCUUUGCUGACGAGUGGCGGACGGGUGAGUAAUGUCUGGGAAACUGCCUGAUGGAGGGGGAUAACUACUGGAAACGGUAGCUAAUACCGCAUAACGUCGCAAGACCAAAGAGGGGGACCUUCGGGCCUCUUGCCAUCGGAUGUGCCCAGAUGGGAUUAGCUUGUUGGUGGGGUAACGGCUCACCAAGGCGACGAUCCCUAGCUGGUCUGAGAGGAUGACCAGCCACACUGGAACUGAGACACGGUCCAGACUCCUACGGGAGGCAGCAGUGGGGAAUAUUGCACAAUGGGCGCAAGCCUGAUGCAGCCAUGCCGCGUGUAUGAAGAAGGCCUUCGGGUUGUAAAGUACUUUCAGCGGGGAGGAAGGGAGUAAAGUUAAUACCUUUACUCAUUGACGUUACCCGCAGAAGAAGCACCGGCUAACUCCGUGCCAGCAGCCGCGGUAAUACGGAGGGUGCAAGCGUUAAUCGGAAUUACUGGGCGUAAAGCGCACGCAGGCGGUUUGUUAAGUCAGAUGUGAAAUCCCCGGGCUCAACCUGGGAACUGCAUCUGAUACUGGCAAGCUUGAGUCUCGUAGAGGGGGGUAGAAUUCCAGGUGUAGCGGUGAAAUGCGUAGAGAUCUGGAGGAAUACCGGUGGCGAAGGCGGCCCCCUGGACGAAGACUGACGCUCAGGUGCGAAAGCGUGGGGAGCAAACAGGAUUAGAUACCCUGGUAGUCCAUGCCGUAAACGAUGAAUGCUAGGUGUUGGAGGGUUUCCGCCCUUCAGUGCCGCAGCUAACGCAUUAAGCAUUCCGCCUGGGGAGUACGACCGCAAGGUUGAAACUCAAAGGAAUUGACGGGGGCCCGCACAAGCGGUGGAGCAUGUGGUUUAAUUCGAUGCAACGCGAAGAACCUUACCUGGUCUUGACAUCCACGGAAGUUUUCAGAGAUGAGAAUGUGCCUUCGGGAACCGUGAGACAGGUGCUGCAUGGCUGUCGUCAGCUCGUGUUGUGAAAUGUUGGGUUAAGUCCCGCAACGAGCGCAACCCUUAUCCUUUGUUGCCAGCGGUCCGGCCGGGAACUCAAAGGAGACUGCCAGUGAUAAACUGGAGGAAGGUGGGGAUGACGUCAAGUCAUCAUGGCCCUUACGACCAGGGCUACACACGUGCUACAAUGGCGCAUACAAAGAGAAGCGACCUCGCGAGAGCAAGCGGACCUCAUAAAGUGCGUCGUAGUCCGGAUUGGAGUCUGCAACUCGACUCCAUGAAGUCGGAAUCGCUAGUAAUCGUGGAUCAGAAUGCCACGGUGAAUACGUUCCCGGGCCUUGUACACACCGCCCGUCACACCAUGGGAGUGGGUUGCAAAAGAAGUAGGUAGCUUAACCUUCGGGAGGGCGCUUACCACUUUGUGAUUCAUGACUGGGGUG
rnacentral:rRNA from 1 species